GAUGAUGGAGCUAGAGAUGAUGGAGUUGGAGAUGACGGUCUGCUGCUCAUGCUGGAGUGCUCCCAGAUGAUGGAGCUGGAGAUGACGAUCUGCUGCUUAUGCUGAAGUGUUGGAGGAGUCUCAGUGCAUUUGUGCUCCCCAAUUUCCUUGGCCCUUGCUACUCCACAUGCUCUUAUCUCUCUAGCUCUGCUUCCCAGAUUUAAUGGAUUUAGAUAAGGGACUAUCGUUAAAUAUUAUUUGAGAUUGUCCUAGAAAGUUUGAGUACUAAAAGCUUGGAUUCUGUUAUGAUUCUGAGAGAUGGCAAACCCUUUAAGAGGGAGGCCUGGUGUGAGGUGAUUUCAUCAUUGGGGAUGCUGUCCUCUCAUGACCUCAGUUAUCUCUCCCAAGAGCAAACUGGUGUGAAUUCCUCUGGCUUCUCACAGAUGCUCCUAUUGUCACUUGCCACAUGGGAUGUGGACCAAAGAACCUCCCCAGAGCCAAGCACCAGACCUGUGCAUUUGUAGAACAGUGAGUUAAUUUUGAACAGCUAUAUGGUGAACUGAAUGAGUCUCCAAGCCAUGAUCUCACUACUAAAGGCACAUGCUUAACUGUAGGCACUGGCACAGGGAGAGGAAUUCAUUUGUUCCUGAAUCAUAGAAGGGUGAGGUCAAGUGAAGGAACAAGAAAGAUGACGUCUCAGGUGGAGGACACCUACCUACCACUCAGCACUGUCAGCCGAGUUCACGACCUUCACAGCUUCAGUGCAGGCAGAUAACUAACUCUUCCUGGUCUCUGAAGUGAAAACUUUAAGGUUCUUUGGAAAGUCAGCUGUGUUGGAUGGACAAAUGCAUGAAGGAGUAUUUUCCUGAAGUCCACACAAGUGAAAGACUAAGGCAGACUUGUGAAGGAAUGUUUCACUGAAG
rnacentral:lncRNA from 1 species